rnacentral:lncRNA from 1 species
AUCAGAGGUAGCAAGCAGUUAGCAACUCUAUCAAGGAAAAACACUAACACAGAAGAACUCACUAUUUGAUCUUAUCUGAGCAAGGAUAGGACCUUCUCUUUGAGGCUAGCAUCUCUCUAUGGACUAUCUCUUGAGCCACCCUUCCCAUACUCUAUUGCCGUCGGCAGCUACACCGCAGUGGGAGAGAGGCUCACUUUUCUCCCAAAUUCAGGUCCGAUCCUGCAAUGAAGACUGCCUGUGGUCAGAGAGCAACCUCGUUCUACCAAUUCUUCAUUUAUUUGUUUGUCAGGUAAAGAUUGAAUUGCUUAUGCAUUAACAUUUCUCUAUCUUUUCAAACAUGUAAAUUAUUUAAAUUUUUAAACGAAUUAUUCAAAUUAUCCCUUAAUAUUUAAUAAAAUUUAAUUUUUUUAAUUAAAAAUAUGUAUAAUUAAAAAAUUUAUAAAGGUGUAUUUAAUACAUUUGAAUAUCUUUUAUUUUGUGCAGCAAUAGUAAGCAAGCCAUUAAGCAAAACCACUCAUGGUAUGGUUCUAAAGAGAAUAUUUGUGUAGAGG